rnacentral:rRNA from 1 species
UGGGGAAUCUUGGACAAUGGGCGCAAGCCUGAUCCGGCCAUGCCGCGUGAGUGAUGAAGGCCUUAGGGUUGUAAAGCUCUUUUGCCGGGGACGAUAAUGACGGUACCCGGAGAAUAAGUCCCGGCUAACUUCGUGCCAGCAGCCGCGGUAAUACGAAGGGGACUAGCGUUGUUCGGAAUCACUGGGCAUAAAGCGCACGUAGGCGGCUAGGUCCGUCCAAUGUGAAAGCCCCCGGCUCAACCGGGGAAUUGCAUCGGAUACAGCCUGGCUUGAGGACGGUUGGGGUGAGUGGAACUCCUGGUGGAGCGGUGAAAUGCGUAGAUAUCAGGAGGAACACCGGUGGCGAAAGCGGCUCACUGGACCGUAACUGACGCUGAGGUGCGAAAGCUAGGGGAGCAAACGGGAUUAGAUACCCAGGUAGUCCCUGAGCGGGCUGGCAAGGCGCAU